rnacentral:rRNA from 1 species
CCAAGGAGUCUAACAUGUGCGCGAGUCAUUGGGUCUUGCUCAGGCCCAAAGGCACAAUGAAAGUGAAGGCCGGCUCGGUCGGCUGCGUUGGGAUCCCGCCCUCGACGGCGGGCGCACCAACGGCCCGUCCCAGUCGCUGCGUCGACGGGGCGGAGUGAGAGCGUACACGUUGGGACCCGAAAGAUGGUGAACUAUGCCUGGGCAGGACGAAGCCAGAGGAAACUCUGGUGGAGGUCCGCAGCGAUUCUGACGUGCAAAUCGAUCGUCAGACCUGGGUAUAGGGGCGAAAGACUAAUCGAACCAUCUAGUAGCUGGUUCCCUCCGAAGUUUCCCUCAGGAUAGCUGGCGCUCGGAGGAAGCAUUCUCAUCCGGUAAAGCGAAUGAUUAGAGGCCUUGGGGCCGAAACGACCUCAACCUAUUCUCAAACUUUAAAUGGGUGAGAAGUCCGGCUUGCUCGACUGAAGCCCGGACGUGAGGAUGCGAGUGCCCAGUGGGCCACUUUUG